CUUGUUCGCUCUGGAUCCACCCCAGCGUGGGGGCCCGAAAGGGGAAACUGAGGCCGGAGGUCGCCCAGCUGGUGGGAGCGGGACCUCAAGUACAGCGCUGUCGGCGCCCCGUGGGGCUGGCGUGCCUUGCGCCGGGGCUUGCGGGUCUGGGUCAGGACGACCCAGCUUGGUGUGUCCCCGGCCCUGGCACUCUGCAGAAGGAGGUUUCAGUCCUAGCUGGGUUUGUUCCUUAUUGCCUUGCCUCCAUGUCCCGAGCAGAGCAGAACUUCUAGGAUCCAUAAGACAUUCACGCUCUUUGACCCUCACUGAAGCCGGCGAGGUCAGGUGGGCAAGGACGAAGCUUGGUGACACCUGCAGGAGGUGACCUCGGGGCUCCGUGAAGACUGUGCUCCCGGGAGCGGUGUCUCGCCUGGAAGGUUCUCUGCAGACCAGGGGUCCUGGCCAUGAACUGAACUGUUAAACCAGCGUCCUUGAAGAGGGAAAACAUUCUGAUAUUACCACACUCACUGAUGGACCAGAGGACUUAGAAGCUUGUCAACAAAAGCUUGAGAAGCUGAAGUUUUCGAGAGUCUUCCACGUUGUGGUGUCUAUAGGUGGUGACAUUUUGAUUCCUGAAUACAGUCCCCGUGUAUGGAUGG